rnacentral:rRNA from 1 species
GACGAACCGUGCGAACGUUGUUCGGAAUCACUGGGCUUAAAGGGUGCGUAGGCUGGCAGGCAAGUCAGGGGUGAAAGCCCACGGCUUAACCGUGGAAGUGCCUUUGAUACUGCUUGUCUGGAGGGGGAUAGGGGCGUGCGGAACUCCGGUGGAGCGGUGAAAUGCGUAGAUAUCGGAAGGAACACCGGUGGCGAAAGCGGCGCGCUGGAUCCCUACUGACGCGUGAGGCACGGAAAGCCAGGG